AAUUUCUGGUACGGUGCGCCUGGCCCACGGUCGAAAGGCUUGUGAAGUGUCGGAGUGCGUCUGCCAUCCUUCUAGGAAUCUUAUCAUACUUCACUGUGUGGUAAGUGAACUAGAUCUUUUACUUUGAAAAAAUUAGAGUGUUUAAAGCAGGCUUGCGCCUUGAAUACAUUAGCAUGGAAUAAUAAUUUAGGACUUUGUUCUUAUUUUGUUGGUUUUAAGGAAUAAAGUAAUGAUUGAUAGGGAUAGUUGGGGGUGCUAGUAUUCAUCGGCCAGAGGUGAAAUUCUUGGAUUCGAUGAAGACUAACUUAUGCGAAAGCAUU
rnacentral:rRNA from 2 species